CCUCAGCCUCUGCCCGCGCCCGUCGCCCCUCGUCACUUGUUCCCCAGGAUCCUGUACUUUUAAUGUUUUUGCUUGACUUCAGCCAGUGGAAUAAAAAAGCCUUUUCAUUCUGUCUCAUCUAAGAGCUGUUUUCUCCCAGCAAAAACUGAUGCAUUUGAAACCAACGGGAUAGGAUUCAAAACUAGGUGACAAACUCAUGAGAAAUCCAACCUGGCUGAAUGUCUGAGAGGCUGCUACUGUAUCAACAUCACAAGAUAAAGCACUCUGGUAUCACCUGCCCAUAUCCUCCUUAGUGUCACCCAAGACAUUUGACUCUGAUGUGGUUAAUUGAUAACUUUUCUUGCUCCACUUUACAAUGUUUUGUUUCCUACAUCUUAUUACCUUGGGACACAAAAGUGGCAGAGUUGUUGAGAGCUGAUGACAAUAAAAAGGAGAACACUAGAGGAAAUGAGACAGGAAAGAAAGCCAAAGCUGAUUUUCCAACUCUAUGCUGACUCCAACCUGCAGAAAAAGCUGAAUAUAGAAAUCUUCUUCCAUAUAUGAUGAAGUCACUCCACUUACGACAUAACACACAAAGGAAUCACCUGGCUUUUUUUUUUUAACCCAGAAGAGUUGUGCUGGGGACCAUGCCCCAUCCCGCUGAUACAGAUCCUGAAUGGAAUAAUCAGGAAUGGCACAGUGCAGGUGUCAAUAUCAAAGUAAGGCCGCAGAAUUUUUGAGAGGACCCUCCAAAUACUGAGAACUUCUGUUGCACUCGAAACAGUCUCCUGGAUUUCUAUAUUUUUAUGUGAAGGGCUCUUAUUGAUGUCCCCCAGAAUCCAGACUCAGACCUAUUUCUCCAAAAAGGUCCAAUUGGGUUGCUACAUAGUAGCAAGGGUUUAUCUUCAUGCUCACCUAGCAUUCCAGGCCCCCAUUACUUCAAAAGUGAGCUUGAAAUUGUUUUAAGUGAACUAUGGCUGCGGAUUUUUUACUGUUUUAUCUCAGGGAGCAUACAGUGGAGUGAUUAAAGUUUGGACUCCUUCUCCUUGUGAUGAAGAGAAACAGUGAGUCCAGCUCUUAGGAAUGGCAUCAGUUCUCCUGCAAACAAAAUGCUGGGAUGCAGACUUUUGGCACAUUGUGGAAGUAGGAGAACUAUUAAUCCUGUAAUGGUUUUCAUGCCACUGGGUCAGGAAGGCUGUCCUACACUAAACCUUACUGCAUCUGAAAACAUGUUUACAUCCCAACAAGCCACCUUAGCUUUUUUUUUUUUUUUUGAAAGGAAAAUGAGAUUACAAGUCAAUACCUCCACAGAGAGGUAACUCCUAAUAUUCCUAUGAUCUCUGAACCCUAUUUAAACCCUCCUAAAAUAAAAAUAUCAUUUUGGUUUUUCUAUUA
rnacentral:lncRNA from 1 species